GUGCUGCAUAGCUGUCCUGAAAUGAUGACUGUCUGUCAAGUCAUCCAUCAAGGGUUGAUCAAGGAUUCACUCUGACAGAUAUCUAUGCUUAAAAUAUUGUCAUGCUACUUUCUCAUUUGGGGAUACCAAGGAAAGUGUGCUGGUGCAAGGUACCUGAAGCAUCUACUCAGCAAAUGGUGGAGAAAGUGUCAACACUCUCCUAUGCACUGAGAAAGACCUCAGCUGGACCCAAUGAUUGCUGAGAUUGUCAGCCCAGGUGAAUUGGGAAAUAUCUUCCAUGUUAUAAGAAGAAACUCUCCAAAGAGAAAGGUUUGCUACUAUACUUUGCUCUCCCUGCUUCCUAGGCCUUCUCUCCCACCAUAAUACUCCAAACAACUCUCCAUCACUAGAGAGACAGCAUUUCUGCAGGUGGUUCUAAGGUA